GAUGAACGCUGGCGGCGUGCUUAACACAUGCAAGUCGAGCGAAUGAAGUUCCUUCGGGAAUGGAUUUAGCGGCGGACGGGUGAGUAACACGUGGGCAACCUGCCUCAUAGAGGGGAAUAGCCUUCCGAAAGGGAGAUUAAUACCGCAUAAGAUUGUAGUACCGCAUGGUACAGCAAUUAAAGGAGCAAUCCGCUAUGAGAUGGGCCCGCGGCGCAUUAGCUAGUUGGUGAGGUAACGGCUCAACAAGGCGACGAUGCGUAGCCGACCUGAGAGGGUGAUCGGCCACAUUGGGAAUGAGACACGGCCCAGACUCCUACGGGAGGCAGCAGUGGGGAAUAUUGCACAAUGGGGGAAACCCUGAUGCAGCAACGCCGCGUGAGUGAUGACGGCCUUCGGGUUGUAAAGCUCUGUCUUCAGGGACGAUAAUGACGGUACCUGAGGAGGAAGCCACGGCUAACUACGUGCCAGCCGCCGCAGUAAAAC
rnacentral:rRNA from 1 species